rnacentral:rRNA from 1 species
GUCUAUGGCUGUGCCACCUUGAAAAAGCCUGAUGUCUGAUCUCGGAAGCUAAGCAGGAUCAGGACCAAUUAGUACUUGGAUGGGAAACCAUCUAGGAAGACCAGGUGCUGUACGCA